UGGAAGGUUGGACGAAUGGAAACCAGAGGGGAUGACUUUCCAUACACUCUCACAAACCCUGAGUGUACAGUGCGGGCAGGAACCUGUACUGCAGCUGUUUCCCAGCUCUACCAUCAUGCGUCCCCCACUGGAAAGCUGAGCUCACUGUGUUGAGAAGAUGCAAACUCUGAUGAUUAGUCUUAUGUGUCAACUUAAUGGGAUAUGAGACCAACCCCUGAGUGGGAAACAUCUUCCACCAACAGCCCAGCUAUAAAGAAAAGCAGAAUGCCUGUUACCUCUUGGAAUUCACUCCUUGCUGAUAAAUGCAUCUACCCUAUAUCUGUCAUUGCAGUCACUGCCAUUCUUCACUGACACAGAACCAAACUUUUUUGGACUAAAGCUAGUGGCUCUUUAAAACUUCUCCAGAACCUCAAGAAGAGAUUGGUAUUGUGGAAGCGUCAAGCCUUAUGAGCUGAGUAACUACUAGUGGGUAGAUGGCCACUGUUAGACUACCCAGCUCAUAUUACAUUAGCUAAUCUAGUAUAUUAUUUCAUAAUGCACGUUUAUUCUAUCAAUUCUAUUAUUCUAUAGAAUCUUUCUAGACAGCCCAGGGAGACAAACAUCAUAGGGAAAGUUACUUCUCUCACCUGAGACGUAGCAUUGCCAAAUGCAUGUAACUGUGAAACAAAGGGACUCUCCAUAUACCUACCAAUAUUAUCUUCCUUUCACAGUGAUUGAACUAAACAAAUGGAUUCUGAUAACUUUUUAUGUAUCAGGAACCAUGCAAUAAGGGAACAAUUAAAGGUGAAAAAAGUCAAGCCCUGUCUUCAUUGAGACUUUUGAGGAGAAAGGCACUGGUGCUAAGUAGAGUGCCUGAUCACUUGCUGCAACGUGAUUCCAAACAACUACAAGUGAGGUGUGAAGUGGAUUCAACAAGAUGAACUCAAAGCGCCUCGCAAGGUCCCCACUGAGCCUCCCCUUUGGACGUUUCUUUGUCUGGUGCCACCCAACCCCAUCUCUGCAGAAAGGUCGGCCCUCAGCAAUCUGUACUCCAGUUUCAAAACUUAAUUCA
rnacentral:lncRNA from 1 species